UGGGGAAUUUUGGACAAUGGGCGAAAGCCUGAUCCAGCAAUGCCGCGUGUGUGAAGAAGGCCUUCGGGUUGUAAAGCACUUUUGUCCGGAAAGAAAUCCUCUGGGUUAAUACCUCGGGGGGAUGACGGUACCGGAAGAAUAAGCACCGGCUAACUACGUGCCAGCAGCCGCGGUAAUACGUAGGGUGCAAGCGUUAAUCGGAAUUACUGGGCGUAAGGCGUGCGCAGGCGGUUUUGUAAGACGGAUGUGAAAUCCCCGGGCUUAACCUGGGAACUGCAUUCGUGACUGCAAGGCUAGAGUAUGGCAGAGGGGGGUAGAAUUCCACGUGUAGCAGUGAAAUGCGUGGAGAUGUGGAGGAAUACCGAUGGCGAAGGCAGCCCCCUGGGCCAAUACUGACGCUCAUGCACGAAAGCGUGGGGAGCAAACA
rnacentral:rRNA from 1 species